AGGAUUUUUGAUCUCCUUGGAGAUUGGAAAGCAUAGGUCGUGAGCCCCAGCUCAGUCCAGGAGAGACAGGGCCCCUAACCUGCUGGUGGGAGCAUCCGGCCCCCUUGAGGUGGUACAUCUGUCUCUCACCAGCAUCUUUCUUCUCCCCCUCCGUGCUCCGGUCCCAGGCUCCCCGGGGUCUGGGAGGAUGGACAUUGGCUUCCUAAGGAGACCUGUCCUCCAGGGACAGAGGGAGGAACGUGCUUGCCAGCCAGAGUCCAGGCUGUUGGAGGCCCAUGAGGAGGAAACUGAACUCAGAGGGGUUAAGUAACUAGCCCUGAGGUCACACAGCUAGGAAGAGGAAGAAUCAAGAUUACAGUCCUGUACCAUCCUCUAAAUGACAUUCGAGGACCCCCUCCUGCUCCAGGAGACUGGGACUUUCUGAAGCCUUCCAUUGGGGUGUAAUUAGUUGUUUUCUAGUUGUUUCCUGUGCUGGAGGUUGUCUUCUCACCUAGACUUGGUCUCUUUAAGGCCUGGCUGUAUUUUAUCCUUUUCUUCUAUGGAGACCCUCAAUCCUACACAUUUGAAUAAAGUCAUACGUGCUUGUGUUACA
rnacentral:lncRNA from 1 species